AUAGUUGUGCUGUGAAUGAUAGCACGAAUGCAAAUUCUAACAUUACAAAUGAUUAGAUACUUCACUUAUAUUCGAUGUGCAUCUCUGUAACAUGCCAAUACUGUACAUCAAAAUUUGAAUUUUUCCAUGGCGGCAACAUGGCUGUUAACUGUCUGGACAACUGCAGGUUUGAAUUGGUUCGCAGUGCUUUUGAGAUUAGCCAGCAUGCAUGACUGUUUGUUACCGCUGGUUUUAAGGUUAGAAACUAGUCUAACGCUAACGCUGAACUUUUGCCGGUGUGGUUAAGUUGUAACGGUCGUUAAGUAUCUGCAGGUCUCUGCUCCCACGUCACGCUGCACCGAGACACGGGCACAAAUAAUUUGCUGAACAAUUCAUUAGUGUAUUUUCGCCGCACAUGAGAAGUUCCGUCUUAAAAUACUAAUAGUAAUAUGUCGCCAACAUAUGAAAUGCCUGCCGUGUUUUAUAUUGUUGACCUGUUAGCUUUGUUAGCUAACAUGGCUGCUGGAGUCGCUCUCCGCCGCGGUCUGUUUAAAAACAACAUGAUUUUCUCUCCAGUUCACCUGCAUGUCUGCGUACGUGUGUCUAUGUUGUGAAAGUUUAGCGUUACUUCUCAUCGUUUUAUAAUUUUUCUUCCCCUCAAGAAACAUUCAUGUGAAGACUAUGAGAUCUGGUUUUUCAUUUAAAAUUAGACUUUUGUCCUUUUAUGUCCUAGAUCAAGGAAGAGUUCAGACUUAUCGACAGUUUCCUUGGAGGAGACAUUCAUGCUAAAGCUUGAUGAGAACACACCAGGUCUUCUGCAGCUUAGUGCUAAAGGAGGGGCUGCUGGUUCAAAGAUGCACCUUCUGCUGGACACUUUAAAUGACCCACAGAGCAUUGAGGAAAAAAGGAUACAGUUGUCUGCUGCCUCAUUAACUACUUUGGUGAAAGACCAGAAGAUCUUUUCCAUGACUGCCAGGAAUGUGAGGACCACACAGACAAAACAAUGAAGGUGAUCGUGAUGCACAACAUCAUGGCUGAGGAGGACCCAUCAGAUUGUGAUUGAGGGAAACCAAGUGAUGGAAGGAUGUGGAAGCCGAACAAAGACGUGUACUGCUGAUGGGACUCAUAUUUGCCCUGAACCUGGACUAUCCAAAGCAGCUCAAGAACACAUUUGAAGCUUUUCAAAAACUUUUUUUGGAAAUUGAUGGGGCAAAACUACUGAAGAAGGUCCACAGCCUCAAGAACAAGCUCAUGCAAUAGACAUAUAUUUUCCGUCUUGUUCCAAGAGGAUCUUUUGUCUGGACAGAGUUUUAAGGUAGUAUAGCUUUUUUAUUUGUGUUCUGUUCUGUCCUCUGCUCCACACACAGACAUAUAUGUGGAUACAUAAGUACGUUGCAGCCUUUCUGAGCCCACUCCAUUGUUCUCUGAUUUCUCCAUUGACAGAAAUGGAAAAACAAUGUAAACUGGACAGUUUGGUCAUUAACACUGACUGAAUUCUGACAAAUUUAAAAAUCACCUCUUUCCCAAUUUUGUUGUUUCUGUUAUUGUCAUUCUAUCUGAGAGUGAGUGCAACGAUAUUAACUAAGGACUGUUGUUUUUCUGAUCUGUCUUCAUCCACAUGUUUCAUACUGUACACAUGCAGAAAAAAAACACAUUGCAGUUUGUGUGUGGGUUUUCAGGCUUUUGGAAUAGAAUAAGGGGAUUCUUAAAGUUUGGUUGCAUUAAAUACUUAUCCAGAGACAACAAAUGUAGCCUUAGCUCAGUGUGUUAUAAAAUGUGUUUUGAAAUGUCUAAAUGUUGUAGCUGUUGUACUGCACUUUAUUCAUUUAUUGUUAAUGUGUUAUAGUUCUGUUAUUUGUUGUGUUUAAAUACACCUGCACAUCUGAAGAUUUGCUCAGUCACUGUUGUGUGAGGCCGAGGAAACACAAUUAAGACUUUAUACCUUGCACCUCACUUCUCCUUUAAUUUUCUCUGUUCUCCUAAAUUGUCCUUUUCUCUGAUGUACUCCUGAGAUUGGAUGUCUGACAUGUUUUAUAGUCCUACAUUAC